UCGGGAAUUUUGGGCAAUGGGCGAAAGCCUGAUGGAGCGACGUCGCGUGAUGGACGAAGUGCUUCGGCACGUAAACAUCUUUUAUGUGGGAUGAAAUUAUUGACAGUACCACAUGAAUAAGGGGCUCCUAACUCUGUGCCAGCAGGAGCGGUAAUACAGAGGCCCCAAGCGUUAUCCGGAAUCACUGGGCGUAAAGGGUGUCGAGGCGGUUGUAUUAGUCGUUCGUAAAAUCUACGAGCUUAACUUGUAGGCGGCGAACGAAACGGUACGACUUGAGGUUUGGAGAGGUGCGUGGAACUCACGGUGUAGGGGUGAAAUCCGUUGAUAUCGUGGGGAACACCAAAGGCGAAGGCAGCGCACUGGCCAAAAUCUGACGCUCACACACGAAAGCUAGGGUAGCGAAGAGGAUUAGAUACCCCGGUAGUCCCUGAGCGGGCUGGCAAGGCGCAU
rnacentral:rRNA from 1 species